rnacentral:misc_RNA from 1 species
GAUGAAGAACGUAGUAAAAUGCGAUAAGUAAUGUGAAUUGCAGAAUUCAGUGAAUCAUCGAAUCUUUGAACGCACAUUGCGCCCGCCAGUAUUCUGGCGGGCAUGCCUGUUCGAGCGUCAUUUCAACCCUCAAGCACAGCUUGGUGUUGGGACUCGCGUUAAUUCGCGUUCCCCAAAUUGAUUGGCGGUCACGUCGAGCUUCCAUAGCGUAGUAGUAAAACCCUCGUUACUGGUAAUCGUCGCGGCCACGCCGUUAAACCCCAACUUCUGAAUGUUGACCUCGGAUCAUGUAGGAAUACCCGCUGAACUUAAGCAUAUCAAUAAGCGGAGGA